UGAACUAAAUGCCUUAUCACAUAAUAUUUCUUUUACAUAGGACUUCAAACUACAUCUUCAACUUCCUUAGACUUCACAAGCCCAGUAACCUCUGAAUCUGUUUCCACUGCACGAAGCCAGUUUGAUUCUCCCACAGAUACACAAGGCUAUACCAACACCAUAGCCACCAGUGAAAGUGAAACAUCACAGCGACUGAGUGACCCUACUACUGCAACCCAACAGAGCAACGUGAAUACAACCCUCUCCAGGGAGAAUGUAACCCUACCGCACUGUAAGUGUUGGGGCAGAUCUAGAAUGUAUG
rnacentral:lncRNA from 1 species